AUUGAACGCUGGCGGCAUGCCUUACACAUGCGAGUCGAACGGCAGCACGGGUGCUUUCACCUGGUGGCGAGUGGCGAACGGGUGAGUAAUACAUCGGAACGUACCUUAUCGUGGGGGAUAACGCAGCGAAAGUUGCGCUAAUACCGCAUAAGCCCUGAGGGGGAAAGCGGGGGACCGUAAGGCCUCGCGCGAUUAGAGCGGCCGAUGUCUGAUUAGCUUGUUGGUGUGGUAAAAGCCCACCAAGGCGACGAUCAGUAGCUGGUCUGAGAGGACGGUCAGCCACACUGGGACUGAGACACGGCCCAGACUCCUACGGGAGGCAGCAGUGGGGAAUUUUGGACAAUGGGGGCAACCCUGAUCCAGCAAUGCCGCGUGAGUGAAGAAGGCCUUCGGGUUGUAAAGCUCUUUUGUCAGGGAAGAAACACCGGCUCUAACACAGUCCGGGAAUGACGGUACCUGAAGAAUAAGCACCGGCUAACUACGUGCCAGCCGCCGCGGUAA
rnacentral:rRNA from 1 species